rnacentral:rRNA from 1 species
UACGUAGGGCGCAAGCGUUGUCCGGAAUUAUUGGGCGUAAAGAGCUCGUAGGCGGUUUGUCGCGUCUGCUGUGAAAACCUAAGGCUCAACCUUGGGCUUGCAGUGGGUACGGGCAGACUAGAGUGCGGUAGGGGUGACUGGAAUUCCUGGUGAUAGCGGUGGAAUGCGCAGAUAUCAGGAGGAACACCGAUGGCGAAGGCAGGUCACUGGGCCGCAACUGACGC